rnacentral:rRNA from 1 species
AUACAGAGGAUGCAAGCGUUAUCCGGAUUUAUUGGGUUUAAAGGGUGCGUAGGCGGUUUGCUAAGCGGGAGGUGAAAUGCCGGCGCUCAACGUCGGAAGUGCCUCCCGAACUGGUGGACUUGAAUGACUCUGCCGUGGGAGGAAUGUGUAGUGUAGCGGUGAAAUGCUUAGAGAUUACACAGAACACCGAUUGCGAAGGCAUCUCACGAAGGGUUGAUUGACGCUGAGGCACGAAAGCGUGGGGAUCAAACAGGAUUAGAUACCCUGGUAGUCCACGCAGUAAACGAUGAUGGCUAACCGCUGGGCUUAUCAGUUCAGUGGCCAAGCGAAAGCGAUAAGCCAUCCACCUGGGGAGUACGACCGCAAGGUUGAAACUCAAAUGAAUUGGCGGGG